UAAUACGGAGGGUGCAAGCGUUAAUCGGAAUUACUGGGCGUAAAGCGCACGCAGGCGGUUUGUUAAGUCAGAUGUGAAAUCCCCGGGCUCAACCUGGGAACUGCAUUUGAAACUGGCAAGCUAGAGUCUCGUAGAGGGGGGUAGGAAUUCCAGGUGUAGCGGUGAAAUGCGUAGAGAUCUGGAGGAAUACCGGUGGCGAAGGCGGCCCCCUGGACGAAGACUGACGCUCAGGUGCGAAAGCGUGGGGAGGCAAACAGGAUUAGAUACCCUGGUAGUCCACGCUGUAAACGAUGUCGAUUUGGAGGUUGUGCCCUUGAGGCGUGGCUUCCGGAGCUAACGCGUUAAAUCGACCGCCUGGGGAGUACGGCCGCAAGGUUA
rnacentral:rRNA from 1 species